CCUACGGGUGACAGCUGUGGGGGAUAUUGCACAAUGGGGGAAACCCUGAUGCAGCGACGCCGCGUGGGUGAAGAAGCGCCUCGGCGCGUACAGCCCUGUCAGCAGGGAAGAAAAUGACGGUACCUGAAGAAGAAGCCCCGGCUAACUACGUGCCAGCAGCCGCGGUAAUACGUCGGGGGCAAGCGUUCUCCGGAUUUACUGGGUGUAAAGGGGGCGCAGACGGCGAUGCAAGCCAGGAGUGAAAGCCCGGGGCCCAACCCCGGGACUGCUCUUGGAACUGCGUGGCGAGAGUGCAGGAGGGGCAGGCGGAAUUCCUGGUGUAGCGGUGAAAUGCGUAGAUAUCAGGAGGAACACCGGUGGCGAAGGCGGCCUGCUGGACUGCAACUGACGUUGAGGCCCGAAAGCGUGGGGAGCAAACAGGAUUAGAUACCCUUGUAGUC
rnacentral:rRNA from 1 species